ensembl:lncRNA
CUUAUGUCUCCUGCAUUGGCAGGUGGAUUCUUUACCACUAGUGCCACCUGGAAACCUGGCCUCCUCCUUGGGCUUGAUUACUACAAGCCCAAGUUUUGCUACAGAAGCUCGAAGAACUCGGGAAACCCUUUGACUCCUGAGCUCACUGGUUUAUUAUGAAAGAGCAUCACACAGGAACAGCCCAGGGCAAGGAAACAGAGAACAUCAUACCCGCUCUGUGAGUCUUACGGAAAUUCUAGAGCCUCCAACAGGUUCAUGGCGGUGAAAUUAGUUAAAUGGUUUCAAAGAAAGAACAAGUCCUGCUACUUUAUGGAGGAGCUGCUGAAGAACUUUGGCCACUGUGCUCUCAAGCAGAAUGACUUCUCCAGAGACUCACUGAGAGGACCUGCCAGCAGGUGCAUGAACCCUUGUUGAGGGCACUGGCUUUACCAUGAGAGGACUUGACUCAAGACCAGUUCUGCCACAUUCCAGGCGAGUGACUUGGGCCUCACAUUUCCUCAUCUGUAGAAUGGGAAUAACAACAACACCUCCUAAAAAGGUUUGUUGUGAGGAUCAAAUCAGUGAAUUCACCUGUUCUAGUUACUUCAUCAGAGAAGGCAAUGGCACCCCACUCCAGUACUCUUGCCUGGAAAAUCCCAUGGAUGGAGGAGCCCGGUGGGCUGCAGUCCAUGGGAUCCCUAAGAGUUGGACACAACUGAGUGACUUCAUUACCAUCACUGGAGAUGAGGCCAUGCAUGAUAUUUGAAUCGUAAAUAAAAUUUAUAUGCCUCAGUCUGCAUUUGUAACAUUGAACAUGGCUGCAAGCAUUUGACACCUUAUUAUAUGCUUUCUAAUGU